rnacentral:lncRNA from 1 species
CAAGAAGUUGUAAGGUGAUCAGUGCCAGAAUUGACCUGGGAUCCAUAGAAGAGAACCACAGCCUGCUUUCAGAGAAAGCUGCCUCCUGGGGCCAGCCACCUUUCCAAAGGGGUACGGAGAGGCAGCAUUCAGCAGAACCAGGCAUUAUGGCUUCAGCUUUUGCUGUCUUGGAACCCUGAGACCACCGUGGUGUGAAAGAGUCCAGGAUGAAAAACCAAAGACGGAGAGAGUCCCAGACAUCCUAACUGAGACUCCAGAUGCGUGAAAAAGGCCAUCUUAGACCAUCCCGUCACGAUGAAGGCAAAUAAAUUCUAGUCUCAAGAUUUACUUCUGGGGAAGCCACAUCAAGACAUCUACUUAAGAUGUCCCCGUCCCUCACGUGUCAAUUCCAAUCUAGUCCCACAUGCCUUCAAUUUUAGACUCUAAACAUCUCCUGAAUCCUUUUAUAUUUCUUUUACUUUCGACCUACUUAUGUUGUAUUUGAAGUGAGUUUCUUACAGAAGCGUAUUAUUGGACUGUGUUUUUUUCUUGUUGUUGUCUUGUUUGUUGUCUAGUCUG